UCCUGGGGCUGUAGUAGGUCCCAAGGGUUGGGCUGUUCGCCCAUUAAAGUGGUACGCGAGCUGGGUUCAGAACGUCGUGAGACAGUUCGGUCCCUAUCCGUCGCAGGCGUAGGAAAUUUGAGAAGACCUGUCCUUAGUACGAGAGGACCGGGAUGGACGUACCUCUGGUGUACCAGUUGUUCUGCCAAGGGCAUGGCUGGGUAGCUAUGUACGGAAUGGAUAAGCGCUGAAAGCAUCUAAGCGCGAAGCCAACUUCAAGAUAAGAUUUCCCACCGUAAGGGUAAGACCCCAGAAAGACUAUCUGGUUGAUAGGUCGAAGGUGUAAGUGCAGCAAUGUAUUUAGCUUAUCGAUACUAAUAGGUCGAGGACUUGACCAAU
rnacentral:rRNA from 1 species